UACGUAGGGGGCAAGCGUUGUCCGGAUUUAUUGGGCGUAAAGCGCACGCAGGCGGUUUGGUAAGUUCAGAGUGACAGUGCUCGGCUCAACCGAGCAAGGCCUCUGAAAACUGCGAGACUUGAGGACCAGAGAGGGACAUAGAAUCCGGGUGGAGUGGUGAAAUGCGUAGAUAUCCGGAGGAAUACCAAAGGCAGAAGGCAGUGUCCUGGCUGGUAACUGACGCUCAGGUGCGAAAGCUAGGGGAGCGAACAGG
rnacentral:rRNA from 1 species